rnacentral:lncRNA from 1 species
GCGGGAUAAAGUGUUUUAUGGAGUUAGAGCAGGGGAACUUAAAAACAAAAGUGUAUUUAAUAACUUCAUGAGACUGUGAUAACCAGUUUAUAUUUGAAAUAUAUACAGCACUUUGGGAGACUGAGGGUUGACCCUGAUAGUCCUUUGCACAGUGAUCUUCAGAUCUUAAAAGAAAAAGAAGGCAUAGAAUAUAUUUUGCUUAACUUCUCUUUUAAGGAUAACUUUCCAUUUGAUCCUCCAUUUGUUCGAGUGGUGUUACCUGUUCUCUCAGGAGGGUAUGUAUUGGGUGGAGGAGCAUUAUGUAUGGAACUUCUCACAAAACAGGGCUGGAGCAGUGCCUACUCAAUAGAAUCGGUCAUCAUGCAAAUAAAUGCCACCUUAGUCAAAGGCAAAGCCAGAGUGCAGUUUGGAGCAAAUAAGAAUCAAUAUAAUCUAGCAAGAGCCCAACAAUCCUAUAAUUCCAUUGUACAGAUACAUGAGAAAAAUGGCUGGUACACCCCUCCAAAGGAAGAUGGCUAAAUGUGUUGACUGUUGUAUGUUUGGACUAAUGUUGCUUUAAAGAAAAUCUUUCUAACAUGCAGACAAAAGCUUUGAGUGCCCCUAUUACAGCAGUACCGAAGAUGUUAGUUAAUAGAUAUUUUAGUGGAUAAUCUGUCAUCUGACAUCCAGUAUAAGUUACAGCCUUUGCAUUUUGCUCAUUUUAGAUAUCUUGGACUGAGCAGUGGGGCCUUUACUGUAUUUUUCCUGAUAAAUACACAUACUGGCCACUCCUUAUCUCUUUUUCUUGAAAAGUGAACUUUUUAAAGCAGCCAAGUCAACAUCAGGCUACUGAAGUUGAGGCUUUAGGGUAACUUUCCUAUAUUGAGCCCAUGGGUUACAAGGAUUUGCAAUAUAUUGUUCCAUUUACAGCCAAUACAGGUUUAAUCGAUGUUCAAUAUUGGUUUAGGAAAUUUAAGGCCUUCUAAAUCAUAAUAGCUCUUUCAUGUCUAAAACCAUUUUAUGAUAUUGCCAAAAUGUGAUAGGAAACCUACUCAUUAAAUUGUUAAACUUUUUAAUGACUAUGUGAAGAUAUGAAUUGUUUCCUGAAGAUAAUACUCUUAAUUGAGUUGUAUUGUACUUCUUAGGCAAAGCAGUGUAAAACUGUAUCAAUUAAGGCUUGUGAGUAGUGAUUUCCACUGGGGCAUCAGAGUCUUGGCUGGGCUGAAUCUGCUGCUUGUUGGUUCAGUGUUUCUUAUGAACAAGAGCCACAGUACAGAGCUUCAAGUUAUUUAAAAUACUAAGUCAUCUUACGUUUCCAUUUUAUUAACGGGAUGUUGCAAUCGUUUGUAAACUAAUAAACUUAUAAAGUGAUUGGCACAAAGACUCCUUGAGCAAAAGCUGUGCAGUUAAGUACAAAAAGAUACUUAAUUUGGAGACUCUUACAGUAAUUUUUGCCAUGUCAAAACAAUGGCUUUUACAUUGAAAGAUUAAUAGAAACUCUACAUAUGUUAAUUUUUUUAUAGAACCUGACUCAAAUCAAGGUACUCUCCAUUUUAUUGCCUUACCUGAAUCAGUCCUUUUUGGUUGGUAAUAGAUUUUUUUAUACACCCACGUUUGAUUUAAAAGUAAAUUCUAGUUCUUAAGCACUUUUAACAAAUCCAGAAGCACAUUUUUCUGCACAAACAAGUUACAAAGUUCAAAAGUGUUUCUUGUGCAUUAGCUUUGAGAUUCAGUUUUUAACUUUGUAAACCACAUCUGAGAGACUUGUCAUUUCUACAUUGUGUGUGUUUAAUUUCUUUUGAUUCCAUUUUGGUUAAGAGAGCAGUAAAUAGAUUUUCUGGUAUUCUUGUUCACUUGAUUACAUUUGUAUAAAGUUCUGAUUGCCAGUUGCUCAGAUAACAAGUGACAAGGCAGAAUUCUUUAAAUCAGUAAAGUUCCUUAAGCCUAAGGCUAAAUCUUGAAUACAUUGUUGAAUUCUUUAAUAUCCUGAUGGCAAGCAGACUGAUAGCUGCACAUUUGGCAUGCUUUGUUUAAUGGAUUUUAUUUUUAAUUGCAGAUUUAUUUGGCAAUGUACAGUAAAUUUUGUAAACUUGCAUCAAGUUUAUGAAUAAAGAACC